AUUGAACGCUGGCGGCAUGCCUUACACAUGCAAGUCGAACGGUAGAGGGGCAACCCUCGAGAGUGGCGAACGGGUGAGUAAUGCAUCGGAACGUGCCCAGUAGUGGGGGAUAGCCCGGCGAAAGCCGGAUUAAUACCGCAUACGACCUGAGGGUGAAAGCGGGGGAUCGCAAGACCUCGCGCUAUUGGAGCGGCCGAUGUCAGAUUAGGUAGUUGGUGGGGUAAAGGCCCACCAAGCCGACGAUCUGUAGCUGGUCUGAGAGGACGACCAGCCACACUGGGACUGAGACACGGCCCAGACUCCUACGGGAGGCAGCAGUGGGGAAUUUUGGACAAUGGACGAAAGUCUGAUCCAGCCAUGCCGCGUGCAGGAAGAAGGCCUUCGGGUUGUAAACUGCUUUUGUCAGGGAAGAAAUCUUCUGGGCUAAUAUCCCGGGAGGAUGACGGUACCUGAAGAAUAAGCACCGGCUAACUACGUGCCAGCAGCCGCCGUAAUAC
rnacentral:rRNA from 1 species